GCGGCACGGCCACCGCCGGGCGCCUCGCCCUCCGCGCGCUUGGACUCGGCCCGGGAAAGUUCCCGCAGGACGGGGCGCGGGCUGCGCGCACGUGGGCGCCGCUGCAGGGACGCCCCGCGGGCGUCGGCGCCCAGGUGCCGCACCUGCCUGCCCGGGGCGCGCCCGCCGACGCGCGUCUCCGCCCUUGCCAGCCGCCGGAGCCCGGGCGUCCGGAAACCGCUUCCUUCUGUCCCGCCCCAGGACGCAGGCCGUCUUGCCACCCAAAACUUUUCUUUCUGGAAGGAAGGAAGUUGCAUUCAAGUAUGAAAAUGCAGGAGUUUGGGAUGCAAGUGGUCUUGUGUGAGCUUUAGUUCAGUUGUAGGGCACGGUAUUCUUGAGUGCAGGUCAGAUGGAAGCACUGACGCGAACGUCAUACGUGUGCAUACAGGGAGAGAAUCUUGAGUCCGCCCCUGGCUGUGAAGGAGUCUACCCCUUAACCACAGUGCUUUGCAGAUAAUAGGCUCUCUGUCGUUGUUGAUUUGAUGUGAAUAGGAUUACUCACUGCUUGUUGGGCAUAUAAGGUGCUGUCACCUUAAGAUUACUUCAUCAGUGAGUAUAACAAAUAACUGGAUUCACUUCUUCUGGAUUCUCACUAUUGAUAUGCCUCUGGAAUUUCUGCGUGUUUUGGACAAAUCAAUGUUUCAGGUGGCGUUUGUCCAAAGUUGUCUGAAAAUAAAUACAGCAAUACGAGUUGGAUUUUCAUUCACUUCUUUUCAUUCGGAAAGAGCCUUGCCGCAUGUCCCCACGGUGGAUCCUCGUAACGUUCCCUCCAGAUGAGAAAAAUGACGAUAAGAAUCCUUCCUAAGACCUUAGAGCAAGUGGAUUUGGGGCCAAGUGACACCCAGUGCUGAGGCCAGCGCUCACACUUUCUCCACCAGGCCGUUCUCCCCCAGAGUGAGCCCAGAGAUCUUUCAACCCUGCUUUAUAAGCCAGGCUCACGAAGGCUGAGUCAUACGUGGAAGAAACACAAGGUGGAAGGAGGCUGAGUCCCUGAGUCACCGACCCACUAGAAACAUCCACAUGGGACUGUUAGGGCUGUGAUCUGUGCCAGCAGACCUGUUGACAGCCGUCUGAGACAUAUCAAGACCCCCUGGGUACACCUAGGUCAGAAUCCGUCCUUGCCUGCCACUGACUGUGGGACUUUGGGCGAUUAUUUAACCUUUCUGAGAUAUUAUUUCACCAUGAAAUGGAGAGAAUCAUAAGACUUACUUCAAUGAACUGCUGGUAAAUUUAAUGAGAUAAAACAUACGAAGCCCUCGGGUGAUGUGAACGCCUAGAAAAACAGAAGUAACUGCGAGCACUAUUGCAGGCUGAGUUCUGUGGUUUCAGGGGCAUCAGAUACAUGCUCUUAAUUUUUUUUUAAGUCAGAUCCACAUGGCACACCCACUUGCUCUCUGUGGGAUGUCCCCGUGCGAAGGAAGCCUGCACAGUCUUGUCCGACUGUGCCAGCCUCCCCAGAGGACUGGGCCGGGCUACGGAGGGUAGAGCACACCUACUAGGGAAUCUGUUUGUCUUGAGAACACUCCAGUUUGUAAGGAUGGUUUGAUCUCAUCUCAACACAUCAAUCGGCUGCAUAGGGUGGGGAAAGGGGGGAAGGGAAGCAUCACCUUUGUAAACUCCUGAUUUUAUUUUCUCCAUUCUUUUUGAGAGCUUCUUCAGGCAGAAAAACACCUCUUGCUCUUCUGGAUUCUGAGGUAGGAAUAGCAGAACGGCCCUCAGUGAGCUGCUUUGCACCAGGCUCUGCACACUGAGCCCUGGCCAGCCUGUGGGAUGGGGACUAUUUUAUCGCUCACCAGUUACUUAGAAGGAAACUUCACUCACACAUGCCCACAUACCUUGCCCAGGGUCACACGCUGGCGCGUCAGUGUCUGGUUUCAAUGCCGGUGGGUCUACUUUGGAGCCCAACUCUGAACUCCGCUGCUCUGCUACAGGGCUGUACAGUAGGAAGAUUUUGUGAGUCACAUAUGCAAUUUUAAAUUUUCUUGUAGUCUCAUUUUAAAAAGGAGAAAGAAACUCUGCAUUGAAUUUUAACCAUAUAUUUUAUCUAACCAAUUAUGUCUAAAAUGUUAGCAUUUCAAUAUGCAAUCAAUAUAAAAGCUUGAAUGAGAUAUUUUAUAUACUUUAUUUCAUACUUCGUCUUUGAAGUCGGUGUGUGUUCAACUUUCUGCCUGUCUCAGUUAGGAGCAGUGUCCUCUCCAGUGCUCCAUAGCCACAGGUGGCUGUGGCCUCCACGCUGGUGAGCGGCUCUCUGCCACACGCUCAGCAGAAGUUACUGGACUUUCUGUUUAUGGCUCCCUGUUGACAUAAUCUUUAUUAUUUUUGUUUUGGCCAUCUUCAAACCUGUAGAGAUCUUGAGUACGAAAACUGAAAGUAAGUUUAAAAAAAAGGAAGAAAAGAAAUGGUUGUAAUAUUGUCAUUGGAGAUUUCUAAUCGUGCUUGGAAGGCCCACGUUCGUCAGUGCUUCUGUCGGAUUGCUGACAUGUUUUGAGUUCAGCUGCAUGCCCAUUUAAGAACAUAAGGUUCAUUUACCAUAUUUUCCCCUUGGCCAAGCAGAAAUCUAAAAAUAAACUCUCGAGUUGUUAGGUUUGACCUAACUCUUUGUAUAAAUAUCCCUUUGCAGUUGUUUUAGCAAAAGAAAAAUGCAAUCCCCUAAGUGGUUCUAAAAACUUUAGGAAACUGUUUUCUCCCCUGAACACUUCCUUCCCCUAAACCACAUAUAAACUGAAAAAAAAAAAAAUAAGGAAGUGAAAAUGAGAUUUUAUUUUGCUUUUUUUCCUCCCCCUACAAGAGGACAAAACAGUCAACCCCCAUAUGAGACACUCUUUGCUGUUUCCCUUCCCACCUCCACAUUUUAAAUGAUGAUUAGUGUCUGAAAUUAGCCCUGAAUAUAAAUCUCCACUCUUACACUCCGUGCAGUUCUGGUUUCAGGAGUGACGUCCCAUCAAGUGUGGAAGUGCCUGUGGGAAGUCGCCACCUGACACACCUGAUUGUGUCUCAGGUGAUGUCCCCAUACUCGACACACGGUGGACAAUGGGCAGUAGCGCUUGCUGAAUUAAGUUAAUUUUAAUUAAUUGCGGGAAAGUCAAGAAAACUUUCUAGAGACUCUUAUAAAAGAAAAGUGGCUUAUUAUUCCCAAACAUAUUGAUGGAAACACUUAGGAGCUAUAUUUUGAUUAGGAAGGAACGGCCUGUGAGAAGGCGGUGACCUAAUGAUGUGGCGGAAACUGCUGGAACUUAGAAGGGUGAUUGACCUAUAGAGCUUUUCCUCCUUGAACCCAUCUUUAAAGGAAAUUUUGACAUGAACAAAAUAUAAAACUAAAUGUAAAAAUAAAAGUAAACAUAGAAGAAUAUUUGUAAAAUUUUGGUCCAGGGAGAAAACUUAACGUAGGAAAUUCAGAAAGAAGACCGUAUAUUUAAUCUCUCUCUCUUGAGCACAUUUGUGUGUGUGCAUGUGUAUGUGUGCAUGUAUGCAUAUGUAAAUACAUGUUUUUAGUACAUAUCUUAUGCAGAACAACUAUUUGCAAAAAUACGUGCAAUUAGAAUAUCAUCAGAAGACAAUGUCACUAUUCCUAAUACACAAAUGGCUACCCAAAAAUGCAAGUUAUAAAUAAAAAAAGAAAAUGGACAAAAAAUUUUCUUCCACACUAGUGAAUCAGGGAAAUGCAGAGUAUACAAAAAUUAGAUCAAAUUUUUCACCCAUCACCCACAGUAGUGAAGCAGGCCCUUUGCACAGCCGCUGGGAGUGUGAAUUGCUUGGGAGAAUGUAGUAGACCUCACAGAGGCUCCUGUUCAAUGAUGCUGACUAAUAACGUUAAUGCCAGCUGUCUAUGCUCAGAACAUUUUAGCAAAGUAUCUUUCAGAAAUGUAUGUAGGGUGAAGGAGAAUUACAUUCACUAUUAAAUUCAUAAAUAUCUAUAUAUCUAUUUAUAUAGAUAUGUACAAGUGCCUCAUAUACUUUUUAAAAUUUAAAGUGAUGUUAACCAGGUUGAUAAUUUGCCUUAUUCAAAUGACGUUUAGUGGCUUCAAAUCAGAUUCUUCCUUUCAGGGCUUUGCUGUGUCACCAUUCAAAAGAACGUGAUGCUGGCUUUGAAGGUAAUUCCAAAAGAGGAGUUUCUGAAAAUAUUCAGACAAUGAUAACAUCAAUCGAAUUAGCCCACAGCCUCUAAAGGUGACUGCUGUAAGUGAAACACGUUUAUCUGGAUGCAUAAAUUCUGGCGUGCCUGUAGAAGUCAGGAGUACUGCUUGGUAAGCGGACUCAGGACUGAGCAACAACACGCAGGGAGCAGUCCAGGAGUGUGGGGCUUCUCCUGGGGAGGCCUCUGGCGUCCUGAUGGUGUUUAAAUCACCAGUCCCUGGCCUUGUUCUGAAAUACUGGUGCCUGCGUUUCUUUGCUCAUUUGUUUCUAUGCUUACUCCCAUUUUCAGGCCAGCAGCUAAGUUAUUUUAUCAGUUCAUUUUCACCUGAUCUCAAACAAAAUAUUUUAGACAAAACUUCUCCCUAAUUUUACUUCUCAGUUGUUCUCGUCUUGAGAGUCCUUGAUGACAGUUCCUAAGGCAGAUGUUUUCCAAUAAAAGUUAAAGUGACUGUUUUCCUGGGUUUCCACUCGGGCUGCUGUGUGGCACUGCUCCAUGGAUGCGUCCACCUUCCUCGUUUUGAACGGCCUGCAUCCCACCGCUCAGGCCCAGGAAACACCAACGACGCCUCCGGGCCUGGGGUGCCCCCGCCCAUCUUCCUUACUCUUAUUUCGUCUGCUCUCUGUCGACGUCUUUAAGGUUCUGCUCUACAGGAGAGCUUUGCUUAGCUGUGAGUGCGCAGUUCUAAACACUUAGUCCACGGUGCUUUAAAAGCAACUGUUAUUCCCAGUGAGGUUACUUUAACUUAAUCGUAUUUCAUAUUUUACAGAGGAGUACGCUAUUUAUAAAAUGUUAAGCUAGAAGAAAGUGCUACUUAUUUUCCAAAAGACAUAUCUCCUUGGGCAAAUCUUGAAGCUCCCAUGUAAUGACAGAGUCAGCUGACAGUUCCACAUCCACUGUUGGCUUCUCGAGUUGGAAGGCUUUCUGUCCCAGUGAAGCCUUUUGACUGACUGUUCCCGUGUCAGGGACAGUGUUCAGAAGUAGCCAUGGUCACUCCCACAGGCCCCACUCUUGUAGUUCCGUUUGCCUAGAUGACCACUUCGCCAGUGGGCUGCGGACAGAAAGGACAGGGAGAGCUUCAGGCCAAGGCUGCUGUGGCCCCCUCCCUCUGCCCUGAUGCAAGGCCUGGAAUCUGAUGCUCCAGGUGGUGCAGCUACGAGAGCGAGGGAGCUUCCCCAUGGCAUCGGGCUGGGACAGCGGCCAAAAGGAAGCCUUUACUGGGCUACAUGGCUGAGAUUUGAGGGUCAACUUGUCGUCAUUGUGGUCUAGCCCAAUCUAACUCAGACAACAAUAGUAUGGUAAUUUUUAGGGACUACAGAGCAUAUAUAGACUAUAUGGAAUUUGGAUGUGGUUAAACGUAUUGUGUUUUCUUUCUAAGUCUCCUACCAAUUGUAAGUUCUCUCCCUUGACCAAAAUUGUGCAAAUUUUCUUCUAUAUAGUCUUCUGUUUUUAUUUUUAUAUUUAGUGUUUACAUUUUGUUCAUAUUAAAAUUUCAUUUACAGCAUCUGGAUGUAUCUUGCGCACAACAGCACCUAGGAGUGGAUUAAACGUUUUUGAUAAUUUGGAAGCAUUCUUUUGGUUUUCUAUCACCUUCGGGCUAUGAUUAUACAAACAGAUUUUCACUGAUCUGUGAUUAUACUUGUUAAUAGAGCGCCAGGCCACCGUCCUUCGAAGUGGCUGCACCCACCUGAAAUCUAUUCUUACACCUGCUCUAACACUGUCCUGAGUCCCCAUUCUUGGGAAUUCUGACCCAUUACCUGCUCUUCCAUUUCACCCUCAUCUCUCACAUGGGAUUUUGCCCCCGACAUUGCUUUUCCAGCUAUAACUGUUGGAUCCCUAGAGCGCUGUUCUCAAAAUGUGAUGGAUGGGAGGUUCUGAUUCUACUUCUCCACUGUGGUCUCAGGCCCCCAGACUCCAGCCUGAGGCCCAAGGCCCUUUGCGCCCCCGAGCCUCCUGCUGUGUUUAUUCAGACUCCUCAGUCAUUCACUGUAAAACCCUCGGUGGCUUGGGGAGAAGGGUCAGUACUCUCAGGUGGUAACAGCAACAGAGUGCAAAACCUGCACCAUCCCCUCUUUUCCAAAGUUAAGGUUAAUAAUCAAACAUCAUAGCACACUGCGAAAAUUCUAGGAAUACUUGGAUUCUUAAGCAAUUUCCACAAUAAUUGGACUUUUCAUGGGUCCUGAACUCUCAAGUGAACAGAAUUUGAAAAAUUCCUGUUCUUAAGUUCAUUAUUAACAAACAGGUGACUUUUAACAUACCACACAUAGUUUCACAGACGCCGGCAGACCGUCUGGAAGCCACCAGCUGAUACUCUGAGAUCCUGUAAGAAGUGAGUACCUCAUAGAGGAAACUUUUUUUCUAGAGUGCCAGGUUAGUUAUAUUUUAAUAAUUUGUCUUUUUAAAGAUAACGUGGUAGUUUUUUUCCUUAGUUAAAAUAAACUGAAGUUUCACCAAAAAAGUUCUAAAUGCUCAUCAAUAAAAGAAUAGUUACAUGAGUUUAUUUUUUAUCUGUGUAAUGUAAUCUCAUGCAACUAUUAAAAUAAAAUCUAGAAAGGCAAUGUUGAUACAUGGAAGAUUAGCAUGAAAUGACGCAAAGAGAAAGAGCAUUUUUUCUAUACUUCAAAGUUAAAACCCCAUCCAUAGCUCCCGAGUGAGGACUUUAUCUGUGUAGCUGUUUUGAAUUCAGACUGAUCAAUGAAUAUUCUUCAUUUCUUGGAUGACUAACAAGGGAGCGGGUGCUGUUGGGGAUUCUAUUUCCUUGAGAAGAUGAAUGAUUUCCUAGAGAGGCGAUGGUUGAACAUAAGGGGUUCAUGGUUGAUUUCAGUCACUGAGACUCACAAUAAAGAUGGAGAAGGGAGGAUGGAGGGUGCACAGGGGCUGUGUGUUGCCCUUGGGAAGUUUACUGGGUAGACAUCAUAGAAAGUCAUGGCAUAUACGCUUUAUGUGGGGACACUGAUAAAAGUUUGGGAAGGGGCAGGGGGUAAGAGUGGGUCAAUUUUGAGUGUACAAUUUAGUAAAUACCACUUGAUAUUUUCUUCAAACACAACCUCUUCUAUAGCCUUUUCUCCCCAUUCCCAAGCACUUGUGCCAAGUUUGUAGUGAAGUAUAAGGGUAUAAUAUAAAGAAGGUAAACACAUCCUGUUCUGUGUUCUAAAAAGGAGUUUUAAUAAUGAAGAGGAGGACCAUUUUUCUUAUUUGGAGCAGGAGAGGUUUGUAUAGAUGUGAGGCCAGAAUCACGCUCAUCACAGGGACUCAAGCUAGGGCCAGAGCAGAUGGAACUGGACAGCAGAGGGAAGUGUAAUGGCCAUUUGGAAGCACACGGCUCCUGAAUUAAAGGGAGAAAAUGCAUCUCCGCACUGUGUCUUUAGAGUGUCUCUUCCCUGCUGUGGUCUGGGGAGACAUGAGUCACA